rnacentral:rRNA from 1 species
ACGUGAUCUGAGUUCAGACCGGAGUAAUCCAGGUCAGUUUCUAUCUAUACGGAGCUCUUUCUAGUACGAAAGGACCGAAAAAGCAUGGCCAAUACUUAAUGCAUGCCAUAGUUAUUAAUUUAUGAUUAAACCUUAAUAAAUAACUAAUCCACCACCAAGCUCAAAAAAAGAGC